CAGUCAGGCGCCCUGGUUGCCUCUUCUUUUUUAUUAUUUGCUUGGGGGUGACUCUUUUGUUCUGAGUAAAAUUACUUUAAGAAUUCAGAAUAAUCAGCCUCUAUAGAUCUUUCAGAACACAUUUAAAAAUGCAGUUUUCCUCUCCUGUCGUUCUCCCUUAACUCCCAGAAUCCACUGAAUUUUGAGGGAGUUUGAGAACAAUGUAGCAGAUGUCAGUCGGGUCCCUGGGAAACUUAAGUGCAAAUAAGUCUUUAAAAAACCAGGGGCACAACAUACGUAUCCUUUGGGUAAAUACCUAGUAGUACAAUUGCUGGGUCCUAAAGUAGCUCUAUUUUUAACUUCUUGAGGAACUUCAGUACUGUUUUCCGGAGUGGCUGCACCAGCUUGCAUUCCCACUAACAGUGUAAGAGGGUGAUCCGAAGGGGCACCUCAUCCCAGUGUUUAUAGCAGCAAUGUCCACAAUAGCCAAACUAUGGAAAGAGCCCUGAUGUCCAUCAACAGAUGAAUGGAUAAAGAAGAUGUGGUGUAUGUAUACAAUAGAAUAUUACGCAGCCAUCAGAAAGGAUGAAAUCUUACCAUUUACAUCGACAUAGAUGGGACUGGAGGGUAUCAUGCUGAGUGAAAUAAGUCAAUCGGAGAAAGACAAUUAUAUGGUUUCACUCAUAUGUGGAAUUUAAGAAACAAAACAAAGGAUCAUAAGGGAAGGGAGGGAAAAAUAAAAUAAGAUGAAAUCAGAGAGAGAGACAAACCAUAAGAGACUGUUAACCAUAGGAAACAAACUGAGGGUUGCUGGAAGGGGGGGUAGCUGGAGUAACUGGGUGAUGGGCAUUAAGGAGGGCAUGAGAUGUAAUGAGCACUGGGUGUUAUAUUGAUCCCACGACCAUGAGAUCAUGUCCUGAGCUGAAACCAAGAGUCAGUGGCUUAACUGAGCCACCAAGAUGCCCCUGUAAGACCAACACAGACUCACUCGUAGGGACACAUUGUUUAUAGCAAGGAGGUUCUGCAGAGGAGUGAGAGAGGGUACUUCCACGUAAGUGGUUCAGGGUCAACUGGUUACCAUAUGGGAAAUAAAUUCAUCUUUACUCUUACCUCACACCAUAAACAUAAAUCAAUACCAGGCAGAUUUUAAAAUAAAUGUGGAUGUUUCAGACAAUAAUCUUUCUAAAAGAUACCUUAGAAAAUAAUUUCAAGAUCUUGGGGCCAGCAAAGAUUUAUUAUAAUGUGGAAUGUACUAACCAUAAAGAAAAAAUGGAUUAAUUGAGAGUUAUUGAAAUGAAUGACUUUAUUUCUUUUAAGAUUUCAUUUAUUUGAGAGAGAGAGAGAGCAUGAGCGGGAGAGGGAUGGAGGGAGAGGGAGAAGCAGACUCCGCGCCGAGCAGGGAGCCCAACGUGGGGCUCGAUCCCGGGACCCCAGAAUCACAACAUGAGCUGAAGGUGGACUAUCAACUGACUGAGCCACCCAGGUGCCCCGAAAUGGAUGACUAUUAUUAUCAAAAGACACCUUCAGGAGAGUAAAAGAAGCAGGCACAGAGCAGGAUAAACAUUUGCCAUCUAUUCAUUGGACAGAGGACUCAUAUCUGGGAUACGUACCUACCAUAAAUUUAUCAAAAUAGAGACAAUCCACCAGAACACAUGGGCAUAAGAUCUGAUGAGGCAUUUCCCAAGAAAGAUAACCAAGUGGGACUAAGUGUAUGAAAAGGUGUUCCACAUCAUUCCUUCUCAAGAAAAUGCAAAUGGAAUCCCCAGGGAGAUACCGCCACACAGAGACCACAUUGGUGAACUAUCCACCCUGGGCACACCUCGUGUUGGUGAGGAACUCGCACAGCACAGAUGUGUACCUGUGUGUGGACAGGGCUCCGAGCAGCAUUCUUCUGCCUGGCCGCACAAUGGAAACAACCCAGCAGCAGCCUGGGUAAAUAGAGUGACAUGUCUUAUGGUGGAAUAGUAUACGGAAAUAAAAAUCACCUAGAGCCACAUUGAAGAAGACACUGCAAGUAUGAGUCCCAGACCGUUGGUGUGUGUGCUUUGCUCCAACCUGCAAACCCAAUCACACGAUGAUAAAGUGCUUUUCUGGUUAGUCCCAAGGCCCAAGGUGCACAGCGGUGGUCACCAGACUCUGGCAUCAUGGGGCACAGAUUCAUAUCCUGGAUCUAACCUCUUCCUUUCUGGAGACUGUGGCCAACUGAUGAACUUUGGGAUUCAGUUUUUUCAUGGGUCAGAUUUGAUACCUCUGUCUUCCUUAGAGGAUUAAGUCCUCGCUGGUGCCCAGCAGGAACUCCAUAGAAAUGUUCUUAUGUUUGUUCUUGCUCUUCCUCCCUCCCUCUCGGGCUGGGGAGAUGGUAGAUGGUGGCUUGUGACAGAGAGAGGAGCAGGAUGGGGAUGGAGUCCACAUGUCUUCCAGGGGAGGGGCAGGGAGAAGAGCCUGGGGCCUGGGGCCUAACACCCUCCCCAUCUCAGCCUGGGUGGCCAGAGAAGGGCCAGCCUUGGGCUCUGUGGGCAUUCCCAGGCCCUGGUCCAGGCUGUCCGCCCCCUGGCGGGAUGAGGUUUAUGUGGGCACCAAGACCAAAGGUUCCCAGGACGCAGCUUCAAGGUGCAGCCUCCGGGUCAGGUGGGCCGCGCGGGGUCCUGCAGGCCCUGGGUUCGAUUCCUGGCUCUGCCCUCUGUUGGGUGCAAUUGGGCAAGUCUCCUGAAGCCUCAGUGUUCCCAUCAGCAGCAUGGAACAACGAUCCCUCUUUCCCCAUGGAAUUGUCAGGGGGACUCAGUGAGGUAACACACGUGGAGAAGAGUGGACAAGGAGACCGGGGAUGUGCUAGACUGCAGACAGUACCUCACCUCAGUUUUCCAUGAGAGGGAGACUCUUCACUGCUGGAGGCCUGUCCUAAAUAAACAAGGACCAAGGUCGUAGAUGGUCCCUGCAGCUCCAUGAUGCAAGUAAAACAGCGGAAAUGGCCCCUGUUCCAGAGCCGGGGCUCUUGGGACAUUCUUUUGCAGAGACACAGAAAAAGCAAGGGAGGAGGGGGAUGGAGGGGCCAGCAUCCACCCCUGGGGAAAGCAGUUUCCAGAAAGAGCCACACUCCGGCACCCGCCCCACCACACAUGCACAGCUGCACACGCAGAUGCCCCUGACAUACACAUGCGUGCUCUUCUGGGAAGGGGGUGCAUGCAAAGCGACCCCCACAGGCUGAGGGAGCUGGGAGACUGAAGAAAAGGAGACAAGUCCUGGUGACAAGAAAUGGUUUCUUCUGGUGACUUAAGGACAGAAGGACGUCUUGGGCACCACCAGACCCCAGUCCAUCUCCACAACCCCGCCUCUGAUAGGACCUGUUCUCACAGCCCUGGCAGGACGCCCAGGAGGAGGAUGUGGGAGAACAGUAAACAUCGUCCUUGUAAUAAAUCCUUGAAAAUGAAAACUGAAUAA